rnacentral:tRNA from 1 species
GGAGAUGUAGCUCAUUGGUAGAGUACUUGUCUGAUGCAUAGAAGGUUCUGGGUUCAAACCUAGUACCAUCA